AAGAACUUAGUAUUAGUGGUAGUACAGUGAUCUUCAAAAUCAUUAGUGAUUGUUCGAUUCGAUCAGUUCUUG